rnacentral:rRNA from 1 species
GACGAACGCUGGCGGCGUGCCUAAUACAUGCAAGUAGAACGCACAGUUUAUACCGUAGCUUGCUACACCAUAGACUGUGAGUUGCGAACGGGUGAGUAACGCGUAGGUAACCUGCCUGGUAGCGGGGGAUAACUAUUGGAAACGAUAGCUAAUACCGCAUAAUAUUAAUUAUUGCAUGAUAAUUAAUUGAAAGGUGCAAUUGCACCACUACCAGAUGGACCUGCGUUGUAUUAGCUAGUAGGUGAGGUAACGGCUCACCUAGGCGACGAUACAUAGCCGACCUGAGAGGGCGAUCGGCCACACUGGGACUGAGACACGGCCCAGACUCCUACGGGAGGCAGCAGUAGGGAAUCUUCGGCAAUGGACGAAAGUCUGACCGAGCAACGCCGCGUGAGUGAAGAAGGUUUUCGGAUCGUAAAGCUCUGUUGUAAGAGAAGAACGGGUGUGAGAGUGGAAAGUUCACACUGUGACGGUAUCUUACCAGAAAGGGACGGCUAACUACGUG